rnacentral:rRNA from 2 species
GUUUCUUAUGUCUGAUGAGAAAGCCCCCGGCUCAUCCGUGGAGGGUCAUUGGAAACUGGGGAACUUGAUUGCCGAAGAAAAAAGCGGAAUUCCUCGUGUAGCGGUGAAAUGCGUAGAGAUGUGGAGGAACACCAGUGGCGAAGGCGGCUUUUUGGUCUGUUACUGACGCUGAGGCGCGAAAGCGUGGGGAGCAAACAGGAUUAAAUACCCUGGUAGUCCACGCCGUAAACGAUGAGUGCUAAGUGUUAGAGGGUUUCCGCCCUUUAGUGCUGCAGCUAACGCAUUAAGCACUCCGCCUGGGGAGUACGGUCGCAAGACUGAAACUCAAAGGAAUUGACGGGGGCCCGCACAAGCGGUGGAGCAUGUGGUUUAAUUCAAAUCAACGCGAAGAACCUUACCAGGUCUUGACUUCCUCUGAGGACUCUACAGAUAGAGCGUUCCCCUUCGGGGGACAGAGUGACAGGUGGUGCAUGGUUGUCGUCAGCUCGUGUCGUGAGAUGUUGGGUUAAGUCCCGCAACGAGCGCAACCCUUGAUCUUAGUUGCCAGCUUUUAGUUGGGCACUCUAAGGUGACUGCCGGUGACAAACCAGAGGAGGGUGGGGAUGACGUCAAA